UACGGAGGGUGCGAGCGUUGUCCGGAAUCACUGGGCGUAAAGGGCGCGUAGGCGGCGCGGUAAGUCCGUGGUGAAAGCCCGAGGCUCAACUUCGGGUCGGCCAUGGAUACUCCUGGGCUUGAGCACUGUAGAGGCAGGUGGAAUUCCGGGUGUAGCGGUGGAAUGCGUAGAGAUCCGGAAGAACACCGGUGGCGAAGGCGGCCUGCUGGGCAGUAGCUGACGCUGAGGCGCGACAGCGUGGGGAGCAAACAGG
rnacentral:rRNA from 1 species